UACAGAGGGUGCAAGCGUUGUUCGGAAUUAUUGGGCGUAAAGCGUCCGCAGGUGGCACCUCAAGUCUGCUGUCAAAGACCGGGGCUUAACCCCAGAAAGGCAGUGGAAACUGAAGUGCUAGAGUGCAGUAGGGGUAGAGGGAAUUCCCGGUGUAGCGGUGAAAUGCGCAGAUAUCGGGAGGAACACCAAUGGCGAAGGCAGCUCGCUGGGACGUUACUGACGCUGAGACGCGAAAGCGUGGGGAGCAAACAGG
rnacentral:rRNA from 1 species